UACGUAGGGUGCAAGCGUUAAUCGGAAUUACUGGGCGUAAAGCGUGCGCAGGCGGUUUUGUAAGUUUGUCGUGAAAGCCCCGGGCUCAACCUGGGAAUUGCGAUGAAGACUGCAAGGCUUGAAUCUGGCAGAGGGGGGUAGAAUUCCACGUGUAGCAGUGAAAUGCGUAGAUAUGUGGAGGAACACCGAUGGCGAAGGCAGCCCCCUGGGUCAAGAUUGACGCUCAUGCACGAAAGCGUGGGGAGCAAACAGG
rnacentral:rRNA from 1 species